rnacentral:rRNA from 1 species
GACGAACGCUGGCGGCGUGCCUAAUACAUGCAAGUAGAACGCUGAAGGAGGAGCUUGCUCUUCUGGAUGAGUCGCGAACGGGUGAGUAACGCGUAGGUAACCUGCCUGGUAGCGGGGGAUAACUAUUGGAAACGAUAGCUAAUACCGCAUAACAGUAGAUGUUGCAUGACAUUUGCUUAAAAGGUGCAAUUGCACCACUACCAGAUGGACCUGCGUUGUAUUAGCUAGUUGGUGGGGUAACGGCUCACCAAGGCGACGAUACAUAGCCGACCUGAGAGGGUGAUCGGCCACACUGGGACUGAGACACGGCCCAGACUCCUACGGGAGGCAGCAGUAGGGAAUCUUCGGCAAUGGACGGAAGUCUGACCGAGCAACGCCGCGUGAGUGAAGAAGGUUUUCGGAUCGUAAAGCUCUGUUGUAAGAGAAGAACGAGUGUGAGAGUGGAAAGUUCACACUGUGACGGUAUCUUACCAGAAAGGGACGGCUAACUACGUG